rnacentral:rRNA from 1 species
GUAAGGAAUAUUGGACAAUGGGGGAAACCCUGAUCCAGCCAUGCCGCGUGAGUGAAGAAGGCCUUCGGGUUGUAAAACUCUUUCAGAUGUGAAGAUGAUGACGGUAACAUCAGAAGAAGCUCCGGCUAACUUCGUGCCAGCAGCCGCGGUAAUACGAAGGGAGCGAGCGUUGUUCGGAAUCACUGGGCGUAAAGAGUGCGUAGGCGGUUAUACAAGUCAGGAGUGAAAUCCCAGAGCUUAACUUUGGAAUUGCUUUUGAAACUGUAUAGCUAGAGUCCCGGAGGGGUUAAUGGAAUUCCGAGUGUAGAGGUGAAAUUCGCAGAUAUUCGGAGGAACACCAGUGGCGAAGGCGAUUAACUGGACGGGCACUGACGCUGAGGCACGAAAGCGUGGGGAUCAAACAGGAUUAGAAACCCCAGUAGUCC